UACGAAGGGUGCUAGCGUUGUUCGGAAUUACUGGGCGUAAAGCGCGCGUAGGCGGUCUGUCAAGUCAGGGGUGAAAUCCUGGGGCUUAACCCCAGAAUUGCCUUUGAAACUGUCAGACUAGAGUGUCGGAGGGGAUAGCGGAAUUGCUAAUGUAGAGGUGAAAUUCGUAGAUAUUAGCAGGAACACCGGUGGCGAAGGCGGCUAUCUGGACGACAACUGACGCUGAGGCGCGAAAGCGCGGGGAUCAAACAGG
rnacentral:rRNA from 1 species